UCCUGGCUCAGGAUGAACGCUAGCUACAGGCUUAACACGUGCAAGUCGAGGGGCAGCAUGGGGUUAGCUUGCAAAUCCUGAUGGCGACCGGCGCACGGGUGAGUAACGCGUAUCCAACCUUCCCGUCACUCGGGGACAGCCCAGCGAAAGCUGGAUUAACCCCCGAUGUUGUCAUAUGAUAGCAUUAGAGUGUGACGAAAGGCUAACGGUGACGGAUGGGGAUGCGUCUGAUUAGCUUGUUGGCGGGGUAACGGCCCACCAAGGCGACGAUCAGUAGGGGUUCUGAGAGGAAGGUCCCCCACAUUGGAACUGAGACACGGUCCAAACUCCUACGGGAGGCAGCAGUGAGGAAUAUUGGUCAAUGGACGGGAGUCUGAACCAGCCAAGUAGCGUGCAGGACGACGGCCCUAUGGGUUGUAAACUGCUUUUAUAAGGGAAUAAAGUGAGCCUCGUGAGGCUUUUUGCAUGUACCUUAUGAAUAAGGACCGGCUAAUUCCGUG
rnacentral:rRNA from 1 species